rnacentral:rRNA from 1 species
CCCUUAGAUGUUCUGAGCCGCACGCGUGCUACACUGAGUGGAUCAGCGGGUCAGGUUGCGCGAAAGUGUUUCCUAAUCUUGAAAUCCGCUCGUGAUGGGGAUUGACGGUUGCAAUUUUCCGUCAUGAACGAGGAAUACCUUGUAAGCGCGGGUCAUCAUCCCGCGCUGAAUACGUCCCUGCCCUUUGUACACACCGCCCGUCGCUCCUACCGAUUGAGUGGUCCGGUGAGGCUUUGGGAUCUGAGCAAAGAGAGCGUUUCGCUCGUUUUGCCCGGAAAACUCAGUCGAACCUUAUCAUUUAGAGGAAGGAGAAGUCGUAACA